rnacentral:lncRNA from 1 species
GCUCCCUCAGGCGGCUUGUGGGAAGGUCUCUCUGGGCACAUUUCCAGCUUUGCUGCUUUACUCUGGUGACACGGUUUUAGCUAAUUUGAAAACAUCUGCUAGAGUAACUUGCUGUUUUAAUUCUACUACUGGAGAACAUCUGAGUAUGUGAUAGGAGGACUGGCACUAACCCUCAUUCUAACCUCAUGAUUACACCCUUUCAUCUUUUUACAUCAAAGUACUACCAAGUAAAGAAUUUAAAAAUUACUUGUCUAGUCAUGAUAUAUUUUUCUGCUGCUGCUGAAAAAUCCCUGUCUUAUUAUUUCAUGUUCCUUUAUCAUUCAUUUGAUGACACUGACAGCAACUUGCUGAACAAGUUUAAGAAUAGCUGAUAUUUACUGAGCAACCUGGACUUUGUACUCAUGCAGGAUACAGCUCUCAGUAUUGCACUGCAUGUAGGCUGUAUGUGCUGUUCCUAUAAUGAGUAGAGGCUCAUAGUCCCUCAGCCCAGUCCUGCCUGAUAUGGCACCAUAUGCUGUGAGGAGAUUACAAAGGAAGUCAAAAUCAUGAGUGUCACUUCUCUUAUUUUUUCCGUAAUUCUUUCCUACUGUUGCCAUACGUCUUACAUGUGGAGAUGCAAUAGAAAUAAAAUUGCUUCUGCUAAAAUCACAACCUUUUAGUCUGAAGGCAAAGCUGCUUUGUUCUAGAAUGCCUGCGGUAUUAAGAAAUCACCAUGUGUCCUUUUAUUUUUGAGUUUUACCAUGAUUUUUACUAGUGCCUACUUCAAUGAGUUCUUCCAGGAUGCAGGCUAUUUUGAUGACAUCUUAAACAAAGGGAAUAAGAAUUGUCUUUGCCUUACCUUCCUUUUCCCACCUUUCUCUUCCCACUUGUCAGAGAAAUUUUGCAUGACAGAGGUGAAUCUCUGUGGAACCUUCUAGGGGUGUGACCAUCUGCUUGCCCUGGAGAGAAUCAGUCUCUUCUUUCCAAGAAACGAUCUGUCAAAAAAAAAUGCUGUUGUAUAGGGAUGCAAUAUUUUCGGUGUAAGGAAGAGGUUUUAAUUCAUAAAAUAGAAAACAGGUUGGAGAAGUCUUUAGGAAAGGGAUACCUUUUGGGUUGGCUUUUGAAGGAGAAGUUUAUACCCAGGUUCAAGCUGAAGGGCUAAGUGAGUAACUGAAAGGGCUGAGCUAUUUGGAUUACCAUGAGGAAUUUGUGAUGGCUGGAAUGUAGGGUGUGUGACCAGAUGUGAAUCACAGAGGAGCCCACAGAGGAGCUUCAGCACAUAAACUAAAGAGUUUGAUUUUAUUCCUUACGCAGCAAUGAAUCACUGAUUUUUUUUGGCAGAGACACACACACACACACACACACACAGACACACAAGACUAUUUACCAGAAAAGACCUAAGGGAUUUCCUAUCAAAGAAUCUGUAUUUUCAGAUUGGAAAAAGAAUAUCCCCAGAGAGAUUAAGUAACAUGUCCAAGGUCACAAAACUAUUAAUGACUGUAUAAAAACUGGGAUCUAGAACUUUUAAUUUGGGGGAAGUGAAUGUAUUUUCACUUACCUCUUAGAAUAACCUAUAGUGUAGUAAUAUUCUUGUCCACAUUUUAUGGAAACUGAGGCACAGAAUUGUCAUAGUCAUACAGGGAGUAACUUGUGAAACAAAUAGCAAGGUGGUGCAAAGGCAAGAUGUCUGGCUCCUGACCCACCAUUCUUAACACUAUUCUCUACCUCCUUAUCAAUAUGACACAUGUUUUAUCCUCUUGAAAUCCUUUCUGAACAAGAUAGACCUUCUAAAUCAAUAAAUCUGGUAGUACAAGAAUUCAAAAGCACAAGCAGUCACCGCCAGCAUUUGUAUUUAAGAGAAGGCAUUCUGGACUUUAAUUCAGAGCAUGAAUAAGACAAUCCUUUAUCAAGACCAUUUGGGGAGAACUUUUUAAGGGGAAGAUAUCUUCUUCUAUCGUGGCCUCAAAUCAGGCCAUACUGAUUUUCUACAUGCACUAAGGGUGUGGAGAUGGGGGUUAGGGUAGCAGGGCUACAAGAAAGGAUCAGCAGCUCUUGUGCACAUGGAAUGUCUGAACGCUGAAACAGAACUACAUCACUACCACACAGCCAUGCUGCUCUAUGGAGAACUUUUAUCUUUUGCCUUUCACUGUGUUUUUAUAGUGUUCUGGGUGUCAUAACUUCCUUUUGCUAUUGCUUUUCCUGGAAGUGAAUGUGACUUUAUCCAUUUUGCAGAAAAAAAAAGCCUGCACAAUGUGAAUCACUAGGCAAUUGGCUGUUAGAAGAGGAUGUACAACCUUGUGGAACCAUUUUAUAACAAUUUUUUUUGGUUUUGAAAUAUUUUUUCUAGAUUUUGAGCUUCAAGAAAUGACAACAAUGAAAAAGGAGAUUUUUGUAUAUACUAGGCAGUAAAUAUGUGUUGGAGUAAAUGGAUAGGUGGAAGUAAUUAUAUUUUAGAUUUAAAAGAAGUUUCUUUCAGUGGAAUAAACAAUGCAGUAAAUGUUAGAUGGAUGCUGCUAGGGAAAUUUAGCAAUAAAUUGGUUUUGUGAAGUAAAUGAAGAAUAAGGUGCAAAUUUAGUAGUCAAUUUGACCAUCUCUUGUAUUCGCAAUUUCCUCUCCCCUCAAAAACAAAAAGAAAAAAAUCAUGACUAAGAAAUAAGUACUUCAACCAAACUACUGCUUUUAUCUUUUCCAAUUUGUGAUUAAUAACUUUUCUCUUUCAGAUAUGCCAUGAAUUAAAUCAGAAUCCCACAGAGAACAGUUUGGUCACAGUUUGAAGGCAUUCCCAGAUGGUUUUAAAGAAAAACGAAUUUUAAGAGACUGUGAUAUAAAUGACUAAUUUUAUCCUUGAAAGUAUUAAUGGUCCCCUUAUCUCAAUGACUGGCCAGCUUGUAUUAUCUUUACAUCAAGUAUACAUAAAUUUAAACUUAUAGUAAAAGAUUUUCUUAAUAAUAAAACUAGGAGGAUGGUGUAAAAAUCAGAAAUAGAGGAGGUGAAUUCUGGAAAAUGUAAAUCUUUUAGCUUUCUGCAAAUUGAAAUUAAG